GAUGAACGCUGGCGGCGUGCCUAAUACAUGCAAGUCGAGCGAAUGGAUUAAGAGCUUGCUCUUAUGAAGUUAGCGGCGGACGGGUGAGUAACACGUGGGUAACCUGCCCAUGAGACUGGGAUAACUCCGGGAAACCGGGGCUAAUACCGGAUAACAUUUUGAACCGCAUGGUUCGAAAUUGAAAGGCGGCUUCGGCUGUCACUUAUGGAUGGACCCGCGUCGCAUUAGCUAGUUGGUGAGGUAACGGCUCACCAAGGCAACGAUGCGUAGCCGACCUGAGAGGGUGAUCAGCCACACUGGGACUGAGACACGGCCCAGACUCCUACGGGAGGCAGCAGUAGGGAAUCUUCCGCAAUGGACGAAAGUCUGACGGAGCAACGCCGCGUGAGUGAUGAAGGCUUUCGGGUCGUAAAACUCUGUUGUUAGGGAAGAACAAGUGCUAGUUGAAUAAGCUGGCACCUUGACGGUACUUAACCAGAAAGCCACGGCUAACUACGUGCCAGCCGCCGCAGUAA
rnacentral:rRNA from 1 species